CAAUGCAAUGUUUCAUCAUGUACACUUUAGAACAAUGUUUCCAAUGAAAAACCAAUAGAGAGGUUGCCCCCCCCCCCAUCAGAGACUAACAAUAAACUAACAAAUGAAGAGAAGGAACAAUCAAUGGGAGGAGACAAACCAAUGACUACUAGUACUGAAGAGUGACCAUACCCACUUUACAUACAAGGAUUAUACCAUACAUUACACCCCCUCACUGUCAGUAUUGACUCAUGCAUACACAUUAAUACAAUAAAGGAUGUACUGGUACUAAUUGUAUACUUUUAAUGAUCAUUUAAUCAUCUAUUAUUAUUAUUA